rnacentral:rRNA from 1 species
GGGUUGUGAGGUUAAGCGACUAAGCGUACACGGUGGAUGCCCUGGCAGUCAGAGGCGAUGAAGGGCGUGCUAAUCUGCGAUAAGCGCCGGUAAGGUGAUAUGAACCGUUAUAACCGGCGAUACCCGAAUGGGGAAACCCAGUGUGAUUCGUCACACUAUCAUUAACUGAAUCCAUAGGUUAAUGAGGCGAACCGGGGGAACUGAAACAUCUAAGUACCCCGAGGAAAAGAAAUCAACCGAGAUUCCCCCAGUAGCGGCGAGCGAACGGGGAGGAGCCCAGAGCCUGAAUCAGCAUGUGUGUUAGUGGAAGCGUCUGGAAAGGCGCGCGAUACAGGGUGACAGCCCCGUACACAAAAGCGCAUGUGCUGUGAGCUCGAUGAGUAGGGCGGGACACGUGGUAUCCUGUCUGAAUAUGGGGGGACCAUCCUCCAAGGCUAAAUACUCCUGACUGACCGAUAGUGAACCAGUACCGUGAGGGAAAGGCGAAAAGAACCCCGGCGAGGGGAGUGAAAAAGAACCUGAAACCGUGUACGUACAAGCAGUGGGAGCACAGGUUUACCUGUGUGACUGCGUACCUUUUGUAUAAUGGGUCAGCGACUUAUAUUCUGUAGCAAGGUUAACCGUAUAGGGGAGCCGGAGGGAAACCGAGUCUUAACCGGGCGUUAAGUUGCAGGGUAUAGACCCGAAACCCGGUGAUCUAGCCAUGGGCAGGUUGAAGGUUGGGUAACACUAACUGGAGGACCGAACCGACUAAUGUUGAAAAAUUAGCGGAUGACCUGUGGCUGGGGGUGAAAGGCCAAUCAAACCGGGAGAUAGCUGGUUCUCCCCGAAAGCUAUUUAGGUAGCGCCUCGUGAAUUCAUCUCCGGGGGUAGAGCACUGUUUCGGCUAGGGGGCCAUCCCGGCUUACCAACCCGAUGCAAACUGCGAAUACCGGAGAAUGUUAUCACGGGAGACACACGGCGGGUGCUAACGUCCGUCGUGAAGAGGGAAACAACCCAGACCGCCAGCUAAGGUCCCAAAGUCAUGGUUAAGUGGGAAACGAUGUGGGAAGGCCCAGACAGCCAGGAUGUUGGCUUAGAAGCAGCCAUCAUUUAAAGAAAGCGUAAUAGCUCACUGGUCGAGUCGGCCUGCGCGGAAGAUGUAACGGGGCUAAACCAUGCACCGAAGCUGCGGCAGCGACGCUGAUGCGUUGUUGGGUAGGGGAGCGUUCUGUAAGCCUGUGAAGGUGUGUCGUGAGGCAUGCUGGAGGUAUCAGAAGUGCGAAUGCUGACAUAAGUAACGAUAAAGCGGGUGAAAAGCCCGCUCGCCGGAAGACCAAGGGUUCCUGUCCAACGUUAAUCGGGGCAGGGUGAGUCGACCCCUAAGGCGAGGCCGAAAGGCGUAGUCGAUGGGAAACGGGUUAAUAUUCCCGUACUUGGUGUUACUGCGAAGGGGGGACGGAGAAGGCUAUGUUGGCCGGGCGACGGUUGUCCCGGUUUAAGCGUGUAGGUGUGUGUUCCAGGUAAAUCCGGUUCACUUUAACACUGAGGCGUGAUGACGAGGCACUACGGUGCUGAAGCAACAAAUGCCCUGCUUCCAGGAAAAGCCUCUAAGCAUCAGGUAACAUCAAAUCGUACCCCAAACCGACACAGGUGGUCAGGUAGAGAAUACCAAGGCGCUUGAGAGAACUCGGGUGAAGGAACUAGGCAAAAUGGUGCCGUAACUUCGGGAGAAGGCACGCUGACACGUAGGUGAAGUGAUUUACUCAUGGAGCUGAAGUCAGUCGAAGAUACCAGCUGGCUGCAACUGUUUAUUAAAAACACAGCACUGUGCAAACACGAAAGUGGACGUAUACGGUGUGACGCCUGCCCGGUGCCGGAAGGUUAAUUGAUGGGGUCAGCGCAAGCGAAGCUCCUGAUCGAAGCCCCGGUAAACGGCGGCCGUAACUAUAACGGUCCUAAGGUAGCGAAAUUCCUUGUCGGGUAAGUUCCGACCUGCACGAAUGGCGUAAUGAUGGCCAGGCUGUCUCCACCCGAGACUCAGUGAAAUUGAACUCGCUGUGAAGAUGCAGUGUACCCGCGGCAAGACGGAAAGACCCCGUGAACCUUUACUAUAGCUUGACACUGAACAUUGAGCCUUGAUGUGUAGGAUAGGUGGGAGGCUUUGAAGUGUGGACGCCAGUCUGCAUGGAGCCGACCUUGAAAUACCACCCUUUAAUGUUUGAUGUUCUAACGUGGACCCGUAAUCCGGGUUGCGGACAGUGUCUGGUGGGUAGUUUGACUGGGGCGGUCUCCUCCUAAAGAGUAACGGAGGAGCACGAAGGUUGGCUAAUCCUGGUCGGACAUCAGGAGGUUAGUGCAAUGGCAUAAGCCAGCUUGACUGCGAGCGUGACGGCGCGAGCAGGUGCGAAAGCAGGUCAUAGUGAUCCGGUGGUUCUGAAUGGAAGGGCCAUCGCUCAACGGAUAAAAGGUACUCCGGGGAUAACAGGCUGAUACCGCCCAAGAGUUCAUAUCGACGGCGGUGUUUGGCACCUCGAUGUCGGCUCAUCACAUCCUGGGGCUGAAGUAGGUCCCAAGGGUAUGGCUGUUCGCCAUUUAAAGUGGUACGCGAGCUGGGUUUAGAACGUCGUGAGACAGUUCGGUCCCUAUCUGCCGUGGGCGCUGGAGAACUGAGGGGGGCUGCUCCUAGUACGAGAGGACCGGAGUGGACGCAUCACUGGUGUUCGGGUUGUCAUGCCAAUGGCACUGCCCGGUAGCUAAAUGCGGAAGAGAUAAGUGCUGAAAGCAUCUAAGCACGAAACUUGCCCCGAGAUGAGUUCUCCCUGAGACUUAGAGUCUCCUGAAGGAACGUUGAAGACGACGACGUUGAUAGGCCGGGUGUGUAAGCGCAGCGAUGCGUUGAGCUAACCGGUACUAAUGAACCGUGAGGCUUAACCUUACAACGCCGAAG